AAGAAAAAUCGGCAAACUUAGGGAAACCUAAGGACGCAAAACUAUAGGGCCUGUUAUAUGGUAGCCAGUUGCAAUU
rnacentral:ncRNA from 1 species